UAAUCAAGAACGAAAGUCAGAGGUUCGAAGGCGAUUAGAUACCGCCCUAGUUCUGACCGUAAACUAUGCCAUCUAGCGAUCCGAUGGGGUAUUGUUGCCUUGUCGAGGAGCUUCCCGGAAACGAAAGUCUUUCGGUUCCUGGGGUAGUAUGGUUGCAAAGCUGAAACUUAAAGAAAUUGACGGAAUGGCACCACCAGGAGUGGAGCCUGCGGCUUAAUUUGACUCAACACGGGAAAACUCACCCGGCCCGGACACCGUAAGGAUUGACAGAUUGAAAGCUCUUUCUCGAUUUGGUGGUUGGUGGUGCAUGGCCGUUCUUAGUUGGUGGAGCGAUUUGUCUGGUUUAUUCCGAUAACGAGCGAGACUCUAGCCUGCUAAAUAGUGGCUGGAUUUUUACGUCCAGUCUACUUCUUAGAGGGAUAAGCGGUGUUUAGCCGCACGAGAUUGAGCGAUAACAGGUCUGUGAUGCCCUUAGAUGUCCGGGGCUGCACGCGCGCUACAAUGGAAGAAUCAGCUGGCCUAUCCAUUGCCGAAAGGCAUUGGUAAACCGUUGAAACUCUUCCGUGACCGGGAUAGGGAAUUGUAAUUAUUUCCCUUGAACGAGGAAUUCCUAGUAAGUGUGAGUCAUCAGCUCACGCUGAUUACGUCCCUGCCAUUUGUACACACCGCCCGUCGCUGUCCGGGACUGAGCUGUCUCGAGAGGACUGCGGACUGCUGUAUCGAGGCCUUCGGGUCGCGGUAUGGCGGGAAACAG
rnacentral:rRNA from 1 species